UACGUAGGGGGCAAGCGUUGUCCGGAUUUAUUGGGCGUAAAGAGCGUGUAGGCGGCCAGACAGGUCCGUUGUGAAAACUCGAGGCUCAACCUCGAGACGUCGAUGGAAACCGUCUGGCUAGAGUCCGGAAGAGGAGAGUGGAAUUCCUGGUGUAGCGGUGAAAUGCGCAGAUAUCAGGAAGAACACCUAUGGCGAAGGCAGCUCUCUGGGACGGUACUGACGCUGAGACGCGAAAGCGUGGGGAGCGAACAGGG
rnacentral:rRNA from 1 species